rnacentral:rRNA from 1 species
AACGAACGCUGGCGGCAUGCCUAACACAUGCAAGUCGAACGAGACCUUCGGGUCUAGUGGCGCACGGGUGCGUAACGCGUGGGAACCUGCCCUUAGGUUCGGAAUAACUCCCCGAAAGGGGUGCUAAUACCGGAUAAUGUCUUCGGACCAAAGAUUUAUCGCCUUUGGAUGGGCCCGCGUUGGAUUAGCUAGUUGGUAGGGUAAAAGCCUACCAAGGCGACGAUCCUUAGCUGGGCCGAGAGGAUGAUCAGCCACACUGGGACUGAGACACGGCCCAGACUCCUACGGGAGGCAGCAGGGGGGAAUAUUGGACAAUGGGCGAAAGCCUGAUCCAGCAAUGCCGCGUGAGUGAUGAAGGCCUUAGGGUUGUAAAGCUCUUUUACCCGGGAUGAUAAUGACAGUACCGGGAGAAUAAGCGCCGGCUAACUCCGUG